rnacentral:rRNA from 1 species
UACUAGAGUAGCACUCGCAUAUCAAUAAGCGGAGGAAAAGAAACUAACAAGGAUUCCCCUAGUAACGGCGAGUGAAGCGGGAAGAGCUCAAAUUUGAAAUCUUAAAGGGUUUCCCUUUACGAAUUGUAGUUUAAAGAAGUGUUUUCUGUUGAGGUUUUGGUAAAAGUUCUUUGGAAUAGGACAUCAUAGAGGGUGAGAAUCCCGUAUUUGACCUUUACUUUCAACUUUGUGAUACACUUUCAAAGAAUCGGAUUGUUUGGGAAUGCAGUCCAAAAUGGGUGGUAAAUUUCAUCUAAAGCUAAAUAUUGGCGAGAGACCGAUAGCGAACAAGUACCGUGAGGGAAAGAUGAAAAGAACCUUGAAAAGAGAGUUAAACAGUACGUGAAAUUGUCAAAAGGGAAGCGUUUGACACCAGUGUUGUUUUUCUGAAAAUCAAUUAAAGAACUGCUUAUGCUAAGCUGUUUAGACUUUAUCAGCUAUCUGUUUAGUUUUGAGCUUUUCUUUAAUGCACUUUUCAGUUAACAAGUCAACAUCAAUUUCUUUUGCUGUAAAAAAGCUUGAGGAAGGUGGCUUGAGAUUCGUCUUAAGUGUUUAUAGCCUCUUGCCUAUGCAGUCGGAGAGAUUGAGGUCUGCAGCGUAGAUCCUUCGGGGCUAAAUGCAUUUGUGCUAAGUUAUAGCAUUUUAUAGACAACUUGUUGACUAUGAUUUGUCUUGUAGCUUACUCGCUUAUGUUAUUUUACCUACGCUUAGGAUGUUGAACUACUGAGACAUAGA